UAUAAAUAAAAAAUAAGAUCAGCAGACGUUCGAAUCAGUGACAUAUCUCGCAGCAGAAUUCAAUUAAGAAAAAGGCUGUAAAAUUUUUAACGUGCUGUAAUUCGAGUUUUCCGGCACACGUUUGUCUGAAUUUGUAUUAUUUUGACUUCUUAUUUGACCACUAAAGGAUCUAGGCAUGUAGCAACGUUUUUGGAAGUUUUCUAUCUCAUUCUACAGUGAAAUAAAAUCAAUGUAUAUAAAUUAUUUUUGAUACGUGGUUGCCUAUGUUGUAAAGUUUUGUCGAAUUUUCCCUCAGGAAACCACCAGAGAUCAUUGCUACUCCGUUUUGGAAUACACCAGCUUGUUAAAUGCGAAGGUAUGGAAUUUGGUUUACUGAGAGAUGGAUUUCCUUUCAUUUUCGUCAAUCUUUGGUUUGUUAUGCAUCUCGGAAAUGGACGAUACCGAUUUUUGAGAAAAGAAUCAAGGGUUCCCUUUUUGGAAUAGCUGUUUUGUCAGUUAAACCUUGCUCCCAUAGCGUCAGCAUUGAGUUUGGAAGACGAUUGCAUCCAAAGAAUACAAAUAUUAUGUGUUUCACUUUUAGCGUUAAAUGGAACAAGGCCCAACUGGAGUGACUAUGGAAUUUUUGAUAUAUAAGGUCGUAAAUAUGUCUCGGAAUGUUAGCAUGUAAAAUCAGUUAAAGACUACGAUGCCGCAUAUAACUUGAGCUAUGUUUAGGACAGGAAAGACUUAGCUUCUUUGGAAGCCAUAUUGACUAAACCUUUGACCUUUGUCACGUGUACUAAAUUGUACAAAAAAACUGUUAACAUUUUUUUAUAAUUAUUUGUAGUAUAUUUUAAAUUACAAUAAGCAAAAAUCAGAUUAGAAUAGAAGAGAGAAUUACAAAAAAAUGUGAAGGGAGGGUAAAAUUUACCACCACCGUUGUUAGGAGACGUUAGAGGAAUAUUGCCAUCGCUUACACCAGCAUUAAAUACUACUAGGUGAUUAGCCUUAUGACUGAAGGAAUCUAACGACAUAAUUUUUAAGGAAUCAUAAGGAAUAGUGAAACAGCAAAGGGUUUCUACGCAUUUCUUUGUUAAGGAAAUGAAUCGAGUUAAUAUCGAAUAUACUUUUUUUAAAUUCGAAAACAUGAAAAUAUCGGUGAGAUUCUAAAAAAAACUGAAAAUAUAUAAUUAUUUCCUCAAAAAGGAGACGAAAUUUUGGGAAAAUACCAAGAAAAAUGUACUUUUGGCAAUAUUUUCUCCUACAUGAACACAUUAUUUGACCUUAGUAAUUUUUUUUUCAUUUAUAGACUUCCAAUUUUAUGCAUGAACUACGGAAAUUUUCGGAAACCGUUGCUCAAAAAGAAAAAUUGUGUACAUGUAAUUUGAUGAUGUUUGAUUUCGUAUUAUUAUUUAUUUAGACUCUUUUUUUACUCGUUUGGUUGCUGUUCAUAACCGGUUCCAGUUUGUCUAUCAACAUGCGACGACGAGUUUUCUCAAAUUCGGGGAUAUUUUCUUUUAUAGUACGAUAUACUUGAUUUGAUCAUUUAUACAGUUUACAUUAUUCUAUUUGCAUCACUUGGUGAAUAGUAAAAAACAAAAACGCAAAUAAAUGGUGAAUCGCAUUGCCACAAUAUGAUGGUUGGGAAUGAAAUGUAGGCGGCGCUGAUCGAUCAAUGGCAAUGACAUUGUCAGCGUUUACAAUACAGGGCGCUUCCUAUGUACUCUUCCAAAACACGCGCGACAUGUUAUGGUGGAGGGAACGUUAGAAACCCCACUCUACUUCAACACCGUGACACAAUACACUAUAUAAUAAAGGGAACGUUGGAAACCAAACUCCCCUUCUUUGUGGUCUUGACUCACGAAUCUUGCUCAUCGUUUCCAAUGUCUUGUAAUUUUCCCGUCAGAUCGAGCUGAAAUUUCGUAAGAUAUGUAAUAAGGUCUUUUUGUCUCAAUACUCGCAACAUUUUUUUAUUUUUAAUCUUUCUUCGCUUUUCUGUUUUUUAAUCACUAAAUAGAUUUAGUUGAAGGGUUUCCACUUUUGCACACUUUGAUUGUUUUUAGAUUAUACACUUUUUCUCUCCAUUUAUAUCGCAUUGGCACAUUAUGGUGGGUGAUGAUGACAUUAGGCGGCGCUGAACGAUCGGUGGCUAUGACAUUGACAGCGUUUACGAUACAGGGCGCCAUCUAUAAACGCUUCCAAAAUACACUUGACACGUUAUGGUGGAGUGAACAUUAGAAAGCCCACUCCACGUCAACACUGUGACACAAUACUCUGUAUAGGAAAGCACGUUGGAAACAACACGUUACUUACUUAAUAACAACAAACUUAACAUAUUUAAGAGCUGAGGGAACCUUAGAAACCUUUCUCAACUCUAACGACGUAAAACAAUACUCGUGAAAGUAAAGGAAACUUUAUAAACACCUCUUUACUUACAAGAGAACACACAACCUCCACAGAUGUUAGAGUUAAGGGAACGUUAAAAACCCCACACAAUUCGAUCGCUUACACAAUACUCUUAGAAAUGAAGGGAACGAGGGAAACCCCUCUUUACUUACGAGAACACACAAACACUUCACGAAUGUUAGAAUUAGGGGAACGUUACAAACCCCACUUAACUCUAACUACAAACAGCCUAUUCCACGAUAUGGAAAGAACAUUUCCGUUCCACAAAAAUGCAUCAGAACGAAAAAUUGUACGAAAAUCAAACCGAACGAAAACGUAAGCAUUUUAGUGGAAUUUUGUGUCCACUAUCUUUUUACGCAUGCACGCGAAUGCAAAUGUCAAAAUCAGCCACUUGUGUGUUUGCUGUCGUAUGAUUACAAUUCAGGAUUUUUUUUCAACAUAAAUAUUGCUUGAUUGAAAAUGGAAACAAAAAGCACGAAAAUAUCAUCAACUGUACAGCUGCGGGCACUAGUUGAAUAUAUGUAGGAGAAUCCUGCUAUCGCCAGAGGGGUGCCAACUUUUGGAAGCAACAAGCAAUCCCUUGAAGACCACUGAAAAAAAUUAUGUUUCAAAUUAUAUACCAUGGGUUCUCCUCCUCGCACAAUUGAAGAGUGGAAAAAGUUCCGCACAAAAAAGAAAAUACCUGAAAACAAAAAAGGGUUGCAAGGAUAAGGUGGCGGUUUAUACCAAUUUGAGUGUUUGACGGAGCUAGAAACGAAAUUGACCGGACACUUUUCUUAUCGAAGUCAGCGGCACCAAGCGGUAAGACUUUUGGCUAUGCAGACGACAUCGACUACUGCUUUGUGGCAUUGGUUACAACACCAUCAGGACGUUCCAAGACCGUAGCAGUUAAGUGAAAUAAGUUUUCACCAUUUAUCGCCAGAAACACAUGUCCAACAACAGUAUCAAAUAAACGUACAAACCUGCACCAUCACAACUAAACAAUACCAAUCAUAGUUAAUAGAUGAAACAAAUUUUUAAUUAUACAUUUUUAUUUUAA